CACGAUUUGCUGAACUGCUAUUGAAGAUAAAUUAUAAUUUUGGUUAUCAUAUGAUAGCAUUCCAUUAAAGCUAACACAAAAUUUUACUAAGCGGAAAACUAAAAUCGAUUAUUCCGCCCAACAUUUAGCCAAAAAAUUAAACAUUUUCACCUUCACACUCAAUUUCUCCUCUUUCUCUCCAAUAAAAAAACCUAAUACUCGACAACACCAUCCUGAGACAUAACUCUCUGAAACUCACAAAUCGAUUAAACUCGCUGGCCGCCGUCGUUGAAGGAGGAAUUGAAGGAAUGGGAUCUGAUUUUAGUUUCAGAUCUGAUUUUCAUUUUGGAUCUGAUUUUAUAAGGACGUUGUCUCUUCUUGCUUAGUUAGCUUUGCAUUGGUUCUUAUGCUUAUGAUGAUUUCUACUUAAAUUUUUUUCUACUUAAAUUUGUUUCUACUAAACCUUGUUUUGCUUAGCUAUGUUGCAGAUCACGCUUAACAAAAUUGGUAGACUCUCACACCUCUUGCUCCUUUUUUUGCUUCGGUCCGUUGUCGCAGAUAUGUUCCUUUUCAAGGAUCUUGUUCAGUACUGGGUUUAUUUUGCAGGCUUGGCUUGGUCACUGUUUAAUCUCGGUUCUGAUUUUGUUUUCAACAGCUGAUUCAAAACGAGUUAACGGGUCUGAGGAAUCAGAGUAAAGAAAGUUUGGUUAUGCUUUGAAUGAUGUUUCAUGGUCAAGAGUUUUCAAGAAACCGUUGUAAUGUUGUGGCAGUUGUUUCUGGAGAGAAUAAUAAUAACCAGAUAGAUGGAGCUCCUCCUCCUCUUCAACCCAAAUACCCUUUUCCAGAUCUCUCUUCUUCAGGGCGACUCAAGAUUCAGGUACUGAAUAAUCCUACGACAGAGGAGUUCCAGGUUGCUGUUAACUCUUUUGCAACGGAUUUUGUCUACUUGCAAGGGGAGCAGACUGGAGAUAGUGAUGAAGUUGGUCCCUUAGUGUUGGGAUUUUCUGCUUUUUCUACUCCUGAUGUGCCUUGGUUGCUCUGUUUGGUUCCACAUUACCGACAACCGUUUACCUUGAGCUUCCAAAUGCUGAAGAAUUAGCUCAAGCACUCUACUCUAAGGUGUUCAAUAUGUUAUAUAUUGGAAAAAUGCUUUCACGAAAUAUGCAGCCUGCCAUUUUCGCCAUGCUCUGUUUUCAGUCAUACAGAGAUCAAUUUCAUGAGGUAAAGAACAAAUAAGAGACAGAUAAACUCUAUCUUUUAUGAUUCACAACUUUCACUUUUCAGUGCGUGGCUUACUAGAGAAAGAAGCAAAAAAUCAAAGGAUAUCAAUGGCGAGUGGAGUUGAAUUCACGUAUUUGAUAGCAAGAGUUUAAGACUACGUCCCUAGACUAACGAGAAUCUGGAUAUUUGUAUGACGUACUUCAAACUACAACAGCCAUCAUGCAUGGACGGCACCAUUAGACAACAACCCUUCCACCGUCAAAGGAAACUAGUCUAAAAUAACAGUGCCAAAAUACAUGAGGACGUCAAGAAACGCAUUGUAGAAGUACAUUACUCUCCUAGUCCUAGACCUAUAAAGGAUCAACACAACUAUGACAGACUAUGUGUAUGAUGUUAAUUUAUUUUUCUUGAAAAAUGGCUCACUUGUUAA